rnacentral:rRNA from 1 species
AAGGAAGCACACUCCGGUCAUAGAUUAAGCCAUGCAAGUCUCAGUUCAGGCAUCGAAACCACGUACAGCUCAUUAACGCACUCAGUACCUGAAUGACAUCGACACUUGUCUAAGAUGGAUAGCCUCGGUAAAUCUGAGGCUAAUACACGCAAGUGUACCAGCUUAGUUGAGUUAUGUUGGUAAAGUUGACCCGAAAGGGCGAGUCAGAAGGGUGAGUGUCCUAUCAGCUAUUACGUAGGGUCUAUACCUAUGUAGGCGAUGACGGGUAACGGGUGAUUAUCGUCAGAUUGCCGGAGAAGGAGCCUGAGAGACAGCUACUAUCCCUACGGGGAGCAGCAGGCGCGUAAUUUACCCACUCGCAGUAGCGGAUGUGGUAAUGACCAGUUCCAGUUACGGUCGAAAGGCCUAGUUGGAUAGAGGAGUUUUUAAAGAUUGCUAAGCAAUCUAGCAGAGGGCCAGUCUGGUGCCAGCAGCUGCGGUAAUUCCAGCUCUGCGUGCUUGCUCCCUCGUUGUUGCAGUUAAAAAGCCCGUAGUCAGAGGUCCCAUGAGAAGGAUUAAAGCCGUCCACCACGAAGAAAACAGGAUGCUUAGGGUAACCUUUGUUGAAUGUCUAAGCGUGGUCUGGAGGUUUUACCUAAUUAUGGUAAGAUCAAUGAGAGCCAAGGGGGAUGGUGGUAUUCUGUGGCGAGCGGUGGAAUGCGUUGACCCAUAGGAGACCUUCAACAGCGAAAGCAACCGUCUACUGGGCAUCUGUCGAUCAAGGGCGAAAGUAGGGGUAGCGAACCGGAUCAGAGACCCGGGUAGUCCCUACUGUAAACUAUGUCGACAAGGGAUUAUCUAGCAAUAGGUAGAACUUGGCGAGAAAUCGUAGUUCUCGGAUUCUGGGGGAACUACGAUCGCAAGACUGAAACUUGAAGGAAUUGACGGAAGGGCACACAAGGGGUGGAGCCUGUGGCUCAAUUUGAAUCAACACGGGGAAACUUACCAGGAUCAGAUGGCUCGGUGACUGACUGGACGAGGUUCAUUCAGGAUGAGUCUGUGGGUGGUGCAUGGCCGUUGGUGGUGCGUGGGUUGACCUGUCAUUCGUUGAUUCAGGUAACGAGCGAGACUACCACCGUCUACUAUCUGCAUAAAGGGCCCUUUAUGUUGGUAUCUAGGCGGGACAGCUUGGUUUCAACCAAGAGGAAGGAGGUAGCAAUAACAGGUCCGUGAUGUCCUUUAGAUGCCCUGGGCUGCACGCGUGCUACACUGGGGAUAAUAAAGUGAUGUCAGCCUGUUAACGGUCACCACUCACUAAUGAUCUCCGUGGUGGGGAUUGAAGCUUGUAAUGAGCUUCAUGAACCAGGAAUCCCUUGUAAAUGCGUGUCAACAUCGCGCGUUGAAUACGUCCCUGCCCUUUGUACACACCGCCCGUCGCUCCUACCGAUUGGAUGACCUGGUGAAAACAUCGGACUUCACGGAAAGGUGUUUAAAUCAUGCCAUCUAGAGGAAGGAGAAGUCGUAACAAGGUAACG